CUUUAUUCGUAUCAGUUAAUGGACGUUUUGAAGUUCGUCACCGAGGACCGAAUAAAAAUAUGGAAGUUAUCGUUUUUUGCGGUCAUAGGCUGUUGCUCAUCUUUUGCAUAAGGUAAGCUGGAUAUAAGCAAUUGCACUUCACCAAAGUCCCACUGUGGUCUCCGCUUGAGAAUUGUGAUGAUCUUUUCCAAAUAUGACCACCUGAUUAUCAAUAAACUCCACAAGGAAGUGUCGUCUUUGGGCCUUCUCUAUCGAGCACAGAGUGAAUUCAGUGGACAGGACAAACAGCAGCACUUAAAGGCAAAUUAAAACUCAAUGUCAUCCUUCAGCAGGACAUUAUCUCUGAAUGAAUCAUCCCCAGAGUGCUGUGAGGGAAACGUGUUAUUUAUUAUGGUCCUUCUGAAGAACUUUUUUCUACUUUGUGAGCUGAAUUUGCUGAAAUCUGCUGGAGCUCGUCAAAGUUUCUUGCAAAACUACGAAAUAAUUUAAACAUCUAAUUUGUCUGUGCUUUGUUUGUGUCUUUAAAUCUAAAUAUCAUAAUUUAUCACUGUAACUUUUGGGAUGUUUUAUUGUCCAGUUAAAUUUGUUAUUGUGACUGACCUAAUCAUGCUCAAAACUACCAAGAGAGAUGUACAAACAGAUUACUAGUUCUGUGAAACAUUAUAUAUUUUUUAGAAACCAUAACUGACUAAGAAUAAUUUUUGACA